rnacentral:rRNA from 1 species
UACGUAGGGUGCAAGCGUUGUCCGGAAUUAUUGGGCGUAAAGAGCUCGUAGGCGGUCUGUCGCGUCUGCUGUGAAAACUCAGGGCUUAACCCUGAGCUUGCAGUGGGUACGGGCAGACUAGAGUGCGGUAGGGGAGACUGGAAUUCCUGGUGUAGCGGUGAAAUGCGCAGAUAUCAGGAGGAACACCGGUGGCGAAGGCGGGGUCUCUGGGCCGUAACUGACGCUGGAGGAGCGAAAGCACGGGGAGCGAACAGG